CAGCUAGCUGGUGGGGUAAUGGCUCACCAGGGCAGUGAUCGGUAGCUGGUCUGAGAGGACGAUCAGCCACACUGGGAUUGAGAACGGCCCAGACUCCUACGGGGGGCAGCAGUGAGGAAUUUUCCGCAAUGGGCGCAAGCCUGACGGAGCAACGCCGCGUGCAGGACGACGGCCUUCGGGUUGUAAACUGCUUUUCUGUGGGACGAGAACGGACGGUACCACAGGAAGAAGCCCCGGCUAACUACGUGCCAGCAGCCGCGGUAAUACGUAGGGGGCAAGCGUUGUCCGGAGUUACUGGGCGUAAAGCGCACGCAGGCGGUUGCACGCGUUUCCGGUGCCAGCUCGUUGCUUAACGACGAGAGUGCCGGGAAGACGGUGCGACUCGAGGACCUCAGAGGGACAUAGAAUUCCGGGUGGAGUGGUGAAAUGCGUAGAUAUCCGGAGGAAUACCAAAGGCGAAGGCA
rnacentral:rRNA from 1 species